rnacentral:rRNA from 1 species
UUGAUCAAGCUACAAAGAGCACAUAAUGGAUGCCUUGGUGCCAAUAGGCGAUGAAGGACGUGGCUAACUGCGAUAAGCUUCGGAGAGCGGUAAAC